rnacentral:rRNA from 1 species
CCUACGGGUGGCAGCAGUGGGGAAUAUUGGACAAUGGGGGCAACCCUGAUCCAGCCAUGCCGCGUGUGUGAAGAAGGCCCUCGGGUUGUAAAGCACUUUCAGUGAGGAAGAACGCCUGGUGGUUAAUACCCAUCAGGAAAGACAUCACUCACAGAAGAAGCACCGGCUAACUCCGUGCCAGCAGCCGCGGUAAUACGGAGGGUGCGAGCGUUAAUCGGAAUUACUGGGCGUAAAGCGCGCGUAGGUGGCUUGAUAAGCCGGUUGUGAAAGCCCCGGGCUCAACCUGGGAACGGCAUCCGGAACUGUCAAGCUAGAGUGCAGGAGAGGAAGGUAGAAUUCCCGGUGUAGCGGUGAAAUGCGUAGAGAUCGGGAGGAAUACCUGUGGCGAAGGCGGCCUUCUGGACUGACACUGACACUGAGGUGCGAAAGCGUGGGUAGCAAACAGGAUUAGAUACCCGUGUAGUC